rnacentral:rRNA from 1 species
UACGUAGGGUGCAAGCGUUGUCCGGAAUUAUUGGGCGUAAAGAGCUCGUAGGCGGUUUGUUGCGUCGGCUGUGAAAUCCCGAGGCUCAACCUCGGGUCUGCAGUCGAUACGAGCAAACUGGAGUGUUGCAGGGGAGACUGGAAUUCCUGGUGUAGCGGUGAAAUGCGCAGAUAUCGGGAGGAACACCUAUGGCGAAGGCAGCUCGCUGGGACGUUACUGACGCUGAGACGCGAAAGCGUGGGGAGCAAACAGG